AUUGAACGCUGGCGGCAUGCUUUACACAUGCAAGUCGAACGGCAGCGCGGGCUUCGGCCUGGCGGCGAGUGGCGAACGGGUGAGUAAUGCAUCGGAACGUGCCCAGUAGUGGGGGAUAGCCCGGCGAAAGCCGGAUUAAUACCGCAUACGACCUGAGGGUGAAAGCGGGGGACCGAAAGGCCUCGCGCUAUUGGAGCGGCCGAGGGUGGAUUGGCUAGUUGGUGGGGUAAAGGCUUACCAAGGCGACGAUCCGUAGCUGGUCUGAGAGGACGACCAGCCACACUGGGACUGAGACACGGCCCAGACUCCUACGGGAGGCAGCAGUGGGGAAUUUUGGACAAUGGGGGCAACCCUGAUCCAGCCAUGCCGCGUGCGGGAAGAAGGCCUUCGGGUUGUAAACCGCUUUUGUUCGGGAAGAAAUCCUCUGGGCUAAUACCCCGGGGGGAUGACGGUACCGGAAGAAUAAGCACCGGCUAACUACGUG
rnacentral:rRNA from 1 species